UACGAAGGGGGGCUAGCGUUGCUCGGAAUCACUGGGCGUAAAGCGCACGUAGGCGGCUUUUUAAGUCAGGGGUGAAAUCCUGGAGCUCAACUCCAGAACUGCCUUUGAUACUGGGAGCUCGAGUCCGGGAGAGGUGAGUGGAACUGCGAGUGUAGAGGUGAAAUUCGUAGAUAUUCGCAAGAACACCAGUGGCGAAGGCGGCUCACUGGCCCGGUACUGACGCUGAGGUGCGAAAGCGUGGGGAGCAAACAGG
rnacentral:rRNA from 1 species